GAAGAUGUUUUCUAGGGUUCCGCAAACGAUUUUGGUUGGCCUGGUCCGAGAGAAGACACACAGCUUUGCUGUGCCACGGAGGGACAAAAGCCCGGGAGAU
rnacentral:sRNA from 2 species